rnacentral:rRNA from 1 species
GACGAACGCUGGCAGCGUGCUUAACACAUGCAAGUCGAACGGACAGACAGAGAGCUUGCUCUCUUGAAGUUAGUGGCGAACGGGUGAGUAACGCGUAAUCAACCUGCCCUUCAGAGGGGGAUAACAACGGGAAACCGUUGCUAAUACCGCGUACGAUUCAUGAACGGCAUCGUUUAUGAAUGAAAGGUGGCCUCUAUGUAUAAGCUAUCGCUGGAGGAGGGGAUUGCGUCUGAUUAGCUAGUUGGAGGGGUAACGGCCCACCAAGGCAAUGAUAAGUAGCCGGUCUGAGAGGAUGAACGGCCACAUUGGGACUGAGACACGGCCCAAACUCCUACGGGAGGCAGCAAUGGGGAAUCUUCCGCAAUGGACGAAAGUCUGACGGAGCAACGCCGCGUGAGUGAUGAAGGUCUUCGGAUUGUAAAGCUCUGUUAAUCGGGACGAAAGAGUUCUGCGUGAAUAAUGCAGAAAAGUGACGGUACCGGAAUAGAAAGCCACGGCUAACUACGUGCCAGCAGCCGCGGUAA